rnacentral:rRNA from 1 species
CCUACGGGAGGCUGCAGUGAGGAAUAUUGGUCAAUGGGCGCGAGCCUGAACCAGCCACGCCGCGUGAAGGAUGACUGCCCUACGGGUUGAAACCUCUUUUUAUAAAGGAAUAAAGUGAGGCACGUGUGCCUUUUUGUAUGUACUUUAUGAAUAACGAUCGGCUAACUCCGUGCCAGCAGCGGUGGUAAUACGGAGGAGCAGGGCGUUAUCCGGAUUUUUUGGGUUUAAGGGUAGGGUAGAUGGGUUGUUACGUCAGUUGUGAAAGUUUGCGGCUCAACCGGAGAAGUGCAAUUGAUACUGGCAGGCUUGAGUACAGUUGAGGUGGGCGGAAUGCGUGGUGUAGCGGUGAAAUGCUUAGAUAUCAUGAAGAACACCGAUUGCGAAGGCAGCUUACUAAACUGCCACUGACAUUGAUGCUCGAAAGUGUGGGUAUCAAACAGGAUUAGAUACCCUAGUAGUC